GACGAACGCUGGCGGCGUGCUUAACACAUGCAAGUCGAACGGAAAGGCCCUGCUUGCAGGGUACUCGAGUGGCGAACGGGUGAGUAACACGUGGGUGAUCUGCCCUGCACUUCGGGAUAAGCCUGGGAAACUGGGUCUAAUACCGGAUAGGAGCCAUUUUUAGUGUUAUGGUUGGAAAGUUUUUUCGGUGUAGGAUGAGCUCGCGGCCUAUCAGCUUGUUGGUGGGGUAAUGGCCUACCAAGGCGGCGACGGGUAGCCGGCCUGAGAGGGUGGACGGCCACAUUGGGACUGAGAUACGGCCCAGACUCCUACGGGAGGCAGCAGUGGGGAAUAUUGCACAAUGGGCGCAAGCCUGAUGCAGCGACGCCGCGUGGGGGAUGACGGCCUUCGGGUUGUAAACUCCUUUCGCUAGGGACGAAGCUUUUUGUGACGGUACCUAGAUAAGAAGCACCGGCUAACUACGUG
rnacentral:rRNA from 1 species